CUAACCUUGAGAACCACUGAAAAGCCAUGCAAGGAGCCGCAGAACCUCCAGGUUGGGAUGAAGUGUCUGACCAGCAUUCUGAGACAACAGAUGGGUAAGAGCUUGAAUACAAUGAAUAGCAAGAGCCUGCCCUUCGAGCUGGGAGCAGUCAUGGCAGAAUUCCCAUUCUGAGACAUCUGAGAGGAUCAUCUUGCAGAUGGAGCAUUGCUAGGUCUUUGGGUUGCUCCAUUUGGCCUGUCCCACACCACAAUGAAGUGUGUGGGAGAAGAAGGGAAACAGCUCGGCAUUAGUUCUGUCUCAUGAAUAAAGCCCUUAACUUUUGGUCCACUAAGCAAAAGGAGAGUGGGGGAAAAAAAAGGUUUCUCUCACUGCUGCCCCCAAAUUAAGAUAGCAAUGGAUAAAGCAGGAUUGCUGUACCACUGCUCUGUUUGUUUGCUGGAGUGAGAAACUGGGGUAAGGAUGAAAGGGAAGCAAACAAGUCCCAGAGCCCUGUGGACAAGUAUGAAUUGCCUCUGACAUUUUCAGAAAUAGAAGGGCAAACCAGCGGUCUCUCACUGACGAAGAAGCCAGGAUAUAGAGUUACACUUAUCCUGAGUGAACCUUCACUAUAAUAGUACAACUUAAUUUUCCAUGGUGGUAAGGUACCUGAUAAGCAGUGACAGUAUCACAUCUGUUUUCUAUACCUAUAUAAUAUACUACAAAACACCCCAGUCUUGGAAGAAUACAUUUAGACUGUAAAAUAUAUAGAAGUAUUUAAAUUUAGAAGCAGCUCAUGACAGUAACUUACUGAACCGUUUUUAAAUUGUAAGAGAUUUAGCAGAAUAUUUUCCACAAGUCUUCAGCCUCCGGUGGUAUUUUAUGCUUUGCCAUAACUUAUGUUCAAACUGAAGUUUCAUUGAAACAAUUUGAUACAUUUGGUUGUCUUGAAGACAGUGUUCACCACAGGUAAAAGGCCAGCACAUUAGUUUCCCCAGCAUGCAUCCGCUGUCCCCAAUUAGGAAUGCAGCUUGGCUAGGUUUAUUCUAUUACUAUUUGUACCACCUAGGAGCCUUAGUCACAGGACCCCACAGUGCUAGGCACUGUACACACAGAACAAAAAGAUGGCUCCGGUAUAAGAUGAGAGUGACAAUCUGUACUUCGGGGGAACACCAUACACCCCCAUGUUCAUCCUUGUAAAAUGAUUGUAUGGUAUCCAAUGCAAAAUUUGUCAUGUUGGGUGUCUUCAGACGGCUCAUGAUGCACUGAGCAUUAUUGUUACAGUAAUGUUAUAGGUUAUAAUUUCAUGUAUGUAGUUAUGAGGCUGAAAAUGUAUCCUCAUGGCUUAAAAUAAGCCCAGACAAAAACUCUCCAAGAGCUGAGAGGCAGUUCACACCUCAUCAGGGCAGGUAUGGGACAAACCCAGCCCAGCCUCACAGGAACAAAGGGUGCUGGCUUAGGCAGCAACAAAAGACUCUCGAGGGAGUCACCCCCCUUCCUUUGGUCAGUUUGGAAAUGCGAUGAGGUAAAGCUCACCAGACUCUGAAAGGGGGAGGGAGCAAAGCCAAGAGGGAAGAAAGGACAUGACAAAAGGGGAGACAUUUGCCAUGCUCUCUUUCUCUCCCACCUACAUCUACAGACACCACACCAAGUGCCUGAAGUGCUGAUCAAAGGGGAGAGCUUGGCUGAAGAGCAACCAACAUCUAAAUUUGUAAGGGCAUUGGGGGUGUUAAGAUCAGCUUAGAAUGUGUUUUGCUUUUAUUUCAUUUGACCAAAUCUGACUUGUUAUGCUUUGACUUAUAAUCACUUAAAAUCUCUUUGCAGUUAA